AAUAUGAUUACUUAUAAAUAUAAAUAUAUUUCCAUAUUUGUGAAUAUAAUCAGGUUAAUAUACAUGUAUAUUUCCUUGCUUAUCAGCUAAGAAGACUUAGACGCAAUGAGCCCCAGAAACAGUGCAGAACAUCAACGGGAUGCAAACACAAGCCACAGGGUUGGAGAAGAUAUUUGAAAAACUUAUCUGAUAAACACUGCUAUCCAAAUUCUACAAAUAAAUCUUAAAACUCAAUGACAAGAAAAUGAACGAACCAAUUAACCAGUGGGCCAAAGACGUUAGUAGUCACCUCACCACAGAAGAUAUACAGAUAGCAAAUAAGUAUAUGAAAAGAUGUUCAACAGGAUACAUUAUCAGAGAAAUACAAAUUAAAACAACAGUGAGGUAACACUAUAUACAUAUUAGAAUGGCCAAAGUCCAGAACACUGAAAACAUAAAAAGCUGGUUAGGAUUUUGAGAAACAGGAUCUCCCAGCCAUUGCUUGUUGGAAUGCAAAAUAG
rnacentral:lncRNA from 1 species